GGGUUGUGAGGUUAAGCGACUAAGCGUACACGGUGGAUGCCCUGGCAGUCAGAGGCGAUGAAGGACGUGCUAAUCUGCGAAAAGCGCCGGCGAGGUGAUAUGAACCCUUGACCCGGCGAUGUCCGAAUGGGGAAACCCAGUGCAAUCCGUUGCACUAUCGUUAACUGAAUACAUAGGUUAACGAGGCGAACCGGGGGAACUGAAACAUCUAAGUACCCCGAGGAAAAGAAAUCAACCGAGAUUCCCCCAGUAGCGGCGAGCGAACGGGGAGCAGCCCGGAGUCUGAAUCAGCUUGUGUGUUAGUGGAACGGUCUGGAAAGUCCGACGGUACAGGGUGAUAGUCCCGUACACGAAAGCACACAUGCUGUGAACUCGAAGAGUAGGGCGGGACACGUGGUAUCCUGUCUGAAUAUGGGGGGACCAUCCUCCAAGGCUAAAUACUCCUGACUGACCGAUAGUGAACCAGUACCGUGAGGGAAAGGCGAAAAGAACCCCGGCGAGGGGAGUGAAAAAGAACCUGAAACCGUGUACGUACAAGCAGUGGGAGCCUCUUUAUGGGGUGACUGCGUACCUUUUGUAUAAUGGGUCAGCGACUUAUAUUCUGUAGCAAGGUUAACCGUAUAGGGGAGCCGAAGGGAAACCGAGUCUUAACUGGGCGUUAAGUUGCAGGGUAUAGACCCGAAACCCGGUGAUCUAGCCAUGGGCAGGUUGAAGGUUGGGUAACACUAACUGGAGGACCGAACCGACUAAUGUUGAAAAAUUAGCGGAUGACCUGUGGCUGGGGGUGAAAGGCCAAUCAAACCGGGAGAUAGCUGGUUCUCCCCGAAAGCUAUUUAGGUAGCGCCUCGUGAACUCAUCUUCGGGGGUAGAGCACUGUUUCGGCUAGGGGGCCAUCCCGGCUUACCAACCCGAUGCAAACUACGAAUACCGAAGAAUGUUAUCACGGGAGACACACGGCGGGUGCUAACGUCCGUCGUGAAGAGGGAAACAACCCAGACCGCCAGCUAAGGUCCCAAAGUCAUGGUUAAGUGGGAAACGAUGUGGGAAGGCACAGACAGCCAGGAUGUUGGCUUAGAAGCAGCCAUCAUUUAAAGAAAGCGUAAUAGCUCACUGGUCGAGUCGGCCUGCGCGGAAGAUGUAACGGGGCUAAACCAUGCACCGAAGCUGCGGCAGCGACACUUAUGUGUUGUUGGGUAGGGGAGCGUUCUGUAAGCCGUUGAAGGUGUGCUGUGAGGCAUGCUGGAGGUAUCAGAAGUGCGAAUGCUGACAUAAGUAACGAUAAAGCGGGUGAAAAGCCCGCUCGCCGGAAGACCAAGGGUUCCUGUCCAACGUUAAUCGGGGCAGGGUGAGUCGACCCCUAAGGCGAGGCCGAAAGGCGUAGUCGAUGGGAAACAGGUUAAUAUUCCUGUACUUGGUGUUACUGCGAAGGGGGGACGGAGAAGGCUAUGUCAGCCGGGCGACGGUUGUCCCGGUUUAAGCAUGUAGGCGGAGGUUCCAGGUAAAUCCGGUACCUUAUUAACGCUGAGGUGUGAUGACGAGGCACUACGGUGCUGAAGUGAUAAAUGCCCUGCUUCCAGGAAAAGCCUCUAAGCAUCAGGUAACACGAAAUCGUACCCCAAACCGACACAGGUGGUCAGGUAGAGAAUACCAAGGCGCUUGAGAGAACUCGGGUGAAGGAACUAGGCAAAAUGGUGCCGUAACUUCGGGAGAAGGCACGCUGAUGUGUAGGUGAAGCCCCUGCGGGCGGAGCUGAAAUCAGUCGAAGAUACCAGCUGGCUGCAACUGUUUAUUAAAAACACAGCACUGUGCAAACACGAAAGUGGACGUAUACGGUGUGACGCCUGCCCGGUGCCGGAAGGUUAAUUGAUGGGGUUAGCGGCAACGCGAAGCUCUUGAUCGAAGCCCCGGUAAACGGCGGCCGUAACUAUAACGGUCCUAAGGUAGCGAAAUUCCUUGUCGGGUAAGUUCCGACCUGCACGAAUGGCGUAAUGAUGGCCAGGCUGUCUCCACCCGAGACUCAGUGAAAUUGAACUCGCUGUGAAGAUGCAGUGUACCCGCGGCAAGACGGAAAGACCCCGUGAACCUUUACUAUAGCUUGACACUGAACACUGGUCCUUGAUGUGUAGGAUAGGUGGGAGGCUUUGAAGCGUGGACGCCAGUCUGCGUGGAGCCAACCUUGAAAUACCACCCUUUAAUGGCUGGUGUUCUAACGUAGACCCGUAAUCCGGGUUGCGGACAGUGUCUGGUGGGUAGUUUGACUGGGGCGGUCUCCUCCCAAAGAGUAACGGAGGAGCACGAAGGUUGGCUAAUCCUGGUCGGACAUCAGGAGGUUAGUGCAAUGGCAUAAGCCAGCUUGACUGCGAGCGUGACGGCGCGAGCAGGUGCGAAAGCAGGUCAUAGUGAUCCGGUGGUUCUGAAUGGAAGGGCCAUCGCUCAACGGAUAAAAGGUACUCCGGGGAUAACAGGCUGAUACCGCCCAAGAGUUCAUAUCGACGGCGGUGUUUGGCACCUCGAUGUCGGCUCAUCACAUCCUGGGGCUGAAGUAGGUCCCAAGGGUAUGGCUGUUCGCCAUUUAAAGUGGUACGCGAGCUGGGUUUAGAACGUCGUGAGACAGUUCGGUCCCUAUCUGCCGUGGGCGCUGGAGAAUUGAGGGGGGCUGCUCCUAGUACGAGAGGACCGGAGUGGACGCAUCACUGGUGUUCGGGUUGUCAUGCCAAUGGCACUGCCCGGUAGCUAAAUGCGGAAGAGAUAAGUGCUGAAAGCAUCUAAGCACGAAACUUGCCCCGAGAUGAGUUCUCCCUGAGACCUUGAGUCUCCUGAAGGAACGUUGAAGACGACGACGUUGAUAGGUCGGGUGUGUAAGCGCAGCGAUGCGUUGAGCUAACCGAUACUAAUGAACCGUGA
rnacentral:rRNA from 1 species